UUUAUUUUAAAUGGUCAGCAUUUCAAGAUUCCCCUAUGUCUUCUGAAUAAAAUGGUCUAAGAAGGACUGUUUUAGCCCCUAUGGUUAGAAAUUUAUGGCUGUUUGUUUGAGGGGAAUUCUCACUAUGAGAAAUAGACUGCAAAAAUCCUGUCUCUCUCUGUGCUGCAUGUGUAAAAGCCUGCAUUAUGGGAGCAUCUUAUUGUAUGAUUUUAAUUCAAUAUAUUUAGACUGGUUGACUGAAUUUGGUCCUGUGUGUGUCUCUCUGUGCAUGUGUGUUUCAAUAUGUGUCCAUAUUUGUGAUUGUGUGACUGUUAUACUUUUUUUUGCUGAUUUUCUUUUCAUUUAACAAUUACAUUUGAGGACCCUUAGCAUGUUCAGGAUUUUUCAGCUGUCCAUUUUGCUUUUCCAAUUUUCUAUUUAAGUUAUUACUAUUGUGCUAAGUCAUAGCAUUUCUGCUGCUUUUCAGUAUUUGUGCUAAAUACAGCAUUUCUGCCAAAUAUAGUAUUUCUGUCAAAUUACAGCAUUUCUGCUAUGUUGUACUGUUUCUCUAAAUCAUAGUAUUUCUGUAAUGUUUAAGAAUGUUUGGCUAAAUAUAUUCUUUCUGUUAUCUUAUACUAUUUCUCCGAAAUUCUUGUAUUUUUGAGAAGUUAUCGUAUUUCUGGUAAGUUACAAUAUUUCUGCUAAGUUCUGCUAUGCUAUUGUAUUUCUGCCAAGUAUUAUGUUUCCGCUAAGAUAUUGCAAUUCUGCUAAGUCACUACAUUUUAGCAAAGUUCCUUUGCUUCUGCAAAGUUUUUACAAUUUCUGCAACUUUUCAGCUUUUUCAGCUAGUUUCAGCAGAAAGCUUCAGCUUUAAAGCAUCCACACUGCAUUUUCGCAGGAAAUGCAAAUUUUUCUAGUUAUUAUUAUUCUUCAAGUUGCUUCCGUACGUUUUUCGCCGUAGAACUACUUCCACAAUUUUUGUGCUAUUUUCACCGUUCAAAUUUUAAACUAUUCUGCUAUUUUUGCUCUUUCCGGCAAUGACUUUUGG
rnacentral:lncRNA from 1 species